UACGUAGGGUGCAAGCGUUGUCCGGAAUUAUUGGGCGUAAAGGGCUCGUAGGCGGUCCAUCACGUCGGGAGUGAAAAGCUGGGGCUUAACCCCAGUCCUGCUUCCGAUACGGGUGGACUAGAGGUAGGUAGGGGAGAUCGGAAUUCCUAGUGUAGCGGUGAAAUGCGCAGAUAUUAGGAGGACACCGGUGGCGAAGGCGGAUCUCUGGGCCUUACCUGACGCUG
rnacentral:rRNA from 1 species